rnacentral:rRNA from 1 species
CGGGUCCGGAUGGGCAUGCGUGGCAUUAGCUUGUUGGCGGGGUAACGGCCCACCAAGGCGACGAUGCCUAGGGGUUCUGAGAGGAAGGUCCCCCACACUGGUACUGAGACACGGACCAGACUCCUACGGGAGGCAGCAGUGAGGAAUAUUGGUCAAUGGGCGUAAGCCUGAACCAGCCAAGUCGCGUGAGGGACGACGGCCCUACGGGUUGUAAACCUCUUUUGCCGGGGGACAAACGGCGGCACGCGUGCCGUCCUGAGGGUACCCGGAGAAAAAGCAUCGGCUAACUCCGUGCCAGCAGCCGCGGUAAUACGGAGGAUGCGAGCGUUAUCCGGAUUUAUUGGGUUUAAAGGGUGCGUAGGCGGGAUGCCAAGUCAGCGGUCAAAUACGGGGGCUCAACCUGCGUCCGCCGUUGAAACUGGCGUUCUUGAGUGGGCGAGAAGUACGCGGAAUGCGUGGUGUAGCGGUGAAAUGCAUAGAUAUCACGCAGAACCCCGAUUGCGAAGGCAGCGUACCGGCGCCCAACUGACGCUGAAGCACGAAAGCGUGGGUAUCGAACAGGAUUAGAUACCCUGGUAGUCCACGCAGUAAACGAUGAACACUAAUUGUCCGGCGGGGUUUGCCGCUGGGUGAU